AUUGAACGCUGGCGGCAGGCCUAACACAUGCAAGUCGAGCGGAGCGGCGGACGGGUGAGUAAUGCCUAGGAAUCUGCCUUGUAGUGGUGGAUAACGUCCGGCAACGGGCGCUAAUACCGCAUACUAUCAGAUGAUCCUAGGUCGGGUUAGCUAGUUGUUGGGGUAAAGGCCUACCACGGCGACGAUCCGUAACUGGUCUGAGAGGCUGAUCAGUCACACUGGAACUAAGACACGGUCCAUACUGCUAAGGGAGGCAGCAGUGGGGAAUAUUGGACAAUGGGCGAAAGCCUUGUCCAGCCGUGCCGCGUGUGUGAAGAAGGUCAUCGGAUGGUAAAGCACUUAAAGUUGGGAGGCGUUACCAACAGAAUAAGCACCGGCUAACUUCGUGCCAGCAGCCGCGGUAAUAC
rnacentral:rRNA from 1 species